AUAUUACCCAGAGAGGAGUGGCUUGGCUUCACCUGAGACUGCUCUGAGGAGCGUGCAGCGUGCAGCGCAGUACACUGUCAGAUCUCUGAAGCUGAGACAUCAAUAGCUGCAUAACGGGAUCAUAUGGACACACAGGGUGACUGAUGCUUUUUUCUGAAACAGUCAGGGCUGCUGGGUUGUAAUCAUUUCCAUGGAUCUGCAGUGAACUAUAGCUCUCUGUUACUGGAGGAUGGACCGGGGUUGUUGUAUGUUGGGGCCAGAGAAGCCAUUUACAAACUGGACACCACUAACAUCUCUGACACCGAUAUCUCUCUGUCUCUGGAAUGGGCAGCGUCGGCUGAACAGAAGAGGCAGUGCCUGAGCAAAGGAAAGAACAAUCAGACUGAAUGCUACAAUCAUGUGCGGUUCCUGGACAGAUACAACGACACUCACCUGUACACCUGCGGGACACAUGCAUUCAGAC